rnacentral:sRNA from 1 species
AUUGGGCGUGGUGGCCCAUGCCUGUAAUCCCAGCAAUUUAGGAGGCUGAGGCAGGAGGAUUGCAAGUUCCAGGCCAGCCUCAGCAAUUUAGCGAGGCCCUAAGUAAGAUCUUGUCUCAA